rnacentral:rRNA from 1 species
AACCAGGCUAAUACCGCAUAUCUCUACGGAGUAAGCGGGGGAUCUCGGACCUCGCGCAUUUGGAGCGGCCCGUGUCCGAUUAGUUGACNGGCGGGGUAACAGCCCACCGUGGCUACAAUCGGUAGCUGGUCUGAGAGGAUGAUCAGCCACACCGGGACUGAGACACGGCCCGGACUCCUACGGGAGGCAGCAGUGGGGAAUAUUGGACAAUGGGGGCAACCCUGAUCCAGCGAUGCCGCGUGUGUGAAGAAGGCCUUCGGGUUGUAAAGCACUUUCGCGGGGGAAGAAACUUCGCGCUCUAACAUAGCGCGGCACUGACGGUACCCCGAGAAGAAGCGCCGGCUAACUCCGUGCCAGCAGCCGCGGUAAUACGGAGGGCGCAAGCGUUAAUCGGAAUGACUAGGCGUAAAGCGUGCGCAGGCGGCCGCGGAAGUCGGAUGUGAAAGCCCCGGGCUCAACCCGGGAACUGCGUUCGAAACUCCGCGGCUCGAGUCCGGCAGAGGAAGGUGGAAUUCCGCGUGUAGCGGUGAAAUGCGUAGAGAUGCGGAAGAACACUAAUGGCGAAGGCAUCCUUCUGGGCCGGCACUGACGCUGAGGCACGAAAGCGUGGGUAGCAAACAGGAUUAGAUACCCUGGUAG